rnacentral:rRNA from 1 species
UACGUAGGCAGCAAGCGUUGUUCGGAGUUACUGGGCGUAAAGGGUGCGCAGGCGGUUGUGUGUGUCAGGUGUGAAAGCCCGGGGCUUAACCCCGGAAUUGCGCCUGAAACUACAUGACUAGAGCAUUGGAGAGGGUAGCGGAAUUCACGGUGUAGCAGUGAAAUGCGUAGAUAUCGUGAGGAACACCAGAGGCGAAGGCGGCUACCUGGACAAUUGCUGACGCUCAGACACGAAAGCGUGGGGAGCAAAAGGG